rnacentral:misc_RNA from 1 species
ACCUUAACGGUUCUCUGCCCUGUAUAUUAGUGCAUG